rnacentral:tRNA from 1 species
GCUACUGAAGGAUAACAGUCAUCCGUUGGUCUUAGGUACCAGAGACUCUUGGUGCAAAUCCGGUGCAAAUCCAAGCAGUAGCU